CGGGUUGGAAAGGAAAGAUGGCCUCUUCAUGAAAGCUAUCGGCGAAUGAUGGGCCUGCGCGUCAUUAGCUUGUUGGUGAGGUAACGGCUCACCAAGGCUGCGAUGACUAGCUGGUCUGAGAGGAUGAUCAGCCACACUGGCACUGGAACACGGGCCAGACUCCUACGGGAGGCAGCAGUGGGGAAUAUUGCGCAAUGGGCGAAAGCCUGACGCAGCAACGCCGCGUGAGUGACGAAGGCCUUCGGGUCGUAAAGCUCUGUCGAGAGGGACGAAACACCGGUGGGAACAAUACCUCGCCGGUUUGACGGUACCUCCAAAGGAAGCACCGGCUAACUCCGUGCCAGCAGCCGCGGUAAUACGGAGGGUGCAAGCGUUGUUCGGAAUUACUGGGCGUAAAGGGCGUGUAGGCGGAUCACGAAGUCGGGUGUGAAAGCCCUGGGCUCAACCCAGGAAGUGCGCCCGAAACCAUUGGUCUUGAGUUCCAGAGGGGAGCGNGGAAUUCCCAGUGUAGAGGUGAAAUUCGUAGAUUUUGGGAAGAACACCGGUGCCGAAGGGGCCGCUCCUGAUGGAAUACUGACCCUGACGCCCUGAAAGCGUGGGGAGCAAACAGGAUUAGAGUACACUGGUAGUGCACGCGGUAAACGAGUGCACUUAGUGUUCGGGGGUAUGACACCCACGGGUGCCGCCGCUAACGCAUAAAGUGCAACCGCCUGGGAAGUACGGCCCGCAAGGCUGAAACGCAAAGGAAUUGACGGGGGGCCCGCACAAACGGUGGAGUAUGUGGUUCAAUUCGACGCAACGCGCAGAACCUUACCUGGGCUUGACAUCUGGGGAAGUCCCUAGAGAUAGGGAUGUGCCCUUCGGGGAACCCCAUGACAGGUGCUGCAUGGCUGUCGUCAGCUCGUGUCGUGAGA
rnacentral:rRNA from 1 species